AUACCCUAUCAAGAAUAGACGAGAAAGCAGGAGUGAAUGUGGAGCCUCCUUAAUUAGGGAAGUUCAAUAUUCUCUGUGUUGUCCGUUGAGUUGUGUGUAAUGUUUUGUAUGUUUGACCCUGUCCUGACUGAGUAUGAUGUAUGAUCCUCCUGAAACAGAAAUCUGUAUUUGGCAAAGUGCCAGGAGCUGAAAUAACGAGCUGGUUGCAGAGAAGUGACAGGCAGCCAAUGAAUGCUGAGGAGAGUAAGGUACACUAACAGGAAGAAUAUUGAGCUGCUUGAGCAUCUGCAGAGGAGAACAAUGAAGCUGGUGAAGGGACUAGAAAACAAGAAUUAAGAGGAGCAGCUAAGGGAACUGAAGUUGUUUAGUCUGGGGUAGUGGACACUGAGGGGAGACCUCGUCACUCUCUACAACUGCCUGAAAGGAGGCUGCAGUGAGGUGUGUCUUGGUUUCUUUUAUCAGGUGACAAGUGAUAGGAUGUAAAGAAAUGGCCUCAAGUUACACCAAGACUGGACAUUAAGAAAAAUUUCUUCAUGGAGAGGGUGGUCCAGCAUUGGAACAGGCUGCCCAGAUGUCCUGUUUUCAGUUGGGAUAGAGUUGAUUUUCCUCCUAGUAGCUGGUAGGGUGCUGUGUUUUGGAUUGGGAUGAGAGGAGUGCUGGUAACAUAGUGAUGUUUUAAUUGUUGCAGAGCAGUGCUUACACCAAGCCAAGGACUUUUCAGCUUCUUGCUCUGUCCUGCUAGCGAGCAGGCUAGGGAUGCAGCAGGAGCUGGGAGAGGACAGACCCAGG